rnacentral:rRNA from 2 species
UGUCGAUGAAGAGCGCAGCAAACUGUGGGAAUUCAUGUGAACUGCAUGCUCAUUUGAACAUCGACGUCUUGAACGCACAUUGCGGCCACGGGUUAACCCGUGGCUACGUCUGUCCGAGGGUCG